rnacentral:rRNA from 1 species
GAUGAACGCUAGCAGAACGCCUAACACAUGCAAGUCGAACGGAAUUCUUUGGGUAGCAAUACUUGAUGAAUUUAGUGGCAAACGGGCGAGUAACACGUACUUAACCUGCCCUGGAGACGAGAACAACUACGGAGACGUAGCUAAAUCUCGAUACGCUGUAAGAAAUGAAAAUACUUACAGGAAACUAUUUAUAGCUCUAGGGAGGGGGUGG